rnacentral:tRNA from 1 species
AGAGAAAGAUGGUGAGUUACAGAAGUACAUUGUGUUGUUUUACUCUUUGCUGUUGAUUUUAAGAGAGAGACUAAGAUUUUAGAAGAUAGUCUUGUAGCUCAGCUGGUUAGAGCGCUACACUGAUAAUGUAGAGGUCGGCAGUUCGAGCCUGCCCAAGACUACAAAAGCUAGUAAAUAAAAGAUAAAAAUCUAGUCAAGGAAAAUCUAGGAGUUGAGUGGUAGUUAUAAUCUAACUACGAACUACUAUGUACUAACUACUAGUAUAUGGGGGAUUAGCUCAGCUGGCUAGAGCGCUUGCUUUGCACGCAAGAGGUCAUCGGUUCGACUCCGAUAUUCUCCACUAUAAAUACUUUAAAGAGUAGGAUCGAAAAGAUUAAAGCGUAGAAAGUUUACUUUUUUAAGUUUUCGAAAGAGUUUCUUUUAAAGUAUUCUCAAGAUUAAAGUUUAGGGACGGUGCGUAGUAUGCUCCGAUAACUGACAAUUUUGAAUAAAGGUCAUUGACAUAUUGGUAAAAAUGAUAUCGUAAAGAAUCAAGAUAGAGACGUUUAGAAACAAACGUAAAACUAUAUUUAAAACUAAAAGAGCUCGUUCUGAUAUUUUAUAUCAGGCAAAAAGUAC